UACGUAGGGUGCAAGCGUUAAUCGGAAUUACUGGGCGUAAAGCGUGCGCAGGCGGUUUUGUAAGACUGACGUGAAAUCCCCGGGCUCAACCUGGGAAUGGCGUUGGUGACUGCAAGGCUAGAGUUUGGCAGAGGGGGGUAGAAUUCCACGUGUAGCAGUGAAAUGCGUAGAUAUGUGGAGGAACACCGAUGGCGAAGGCAGUGUCCUGGCUGGUGACUGACGCUGAGGUGCGAAAGCUAGGGGAGCGAACGGG
rnacentral:rRNA from 1 species